AGAAUAUAAGAAACCGUUUUUUAAUUUUUAACUAAAAAAACUAAGAACCGGCUCUUAAAUAAGAUAUUUAAGAGCCGGUUAUUAUUUUUUAGUUAAAAGUUAAGAGACGAUUUCUUAUAUUCC
rfam:Brassica rapa chromosome A5, whole genome shotgun sequence.